GCCUAAAGCGUCCGUAGCCGGCUUUGUAAGUUUUCGGUUAAAUCUAUAUGCUCAACAUAUAGGCUGCCGGAAAUACUGUAAAGCUAGGGAGUGGGAGAGGUAGACGGUACUCCGUAGGAAGGGGUAAAAUCCUUUGAUCUAUGGAUGACCACCUGUGGCGAAGGCGGUCUACCAGAACACGUCCGACGGUGAGGGAUGAAAGCUGGGGGAGCAAACCGGAUUAGAUACCCGGGUAGUCCCAGCUGUAAACUAUGCAAACUCAGUGAUGCAUUGGCUUGUGGCCAGUGCAGUGCCGCAGAGAAGUCGUUAAGUUUGCCGCCUGGGAAGUACGUACGCAAGUAUGAAACUUAAAGGAAUUGGCGGGGGAGCACCACAAGGGGUGAAGCCUGCGGUUCAAUUGGAGUCAACGCCAGAAAUCUUACCCGGAGAGACAGCAGGAUGAAGGUCAAGCUGAAGACUUUACCAGACAAGCUGAGAAGUGGUGCAUGGCCGUCGCCAGCUCGUGCCGUGAGGUGUCCUGUUAAGUCAGGUAACGAGCGAGAUCCUUGCCUCUAGCUGCCACCAUUACUCUCAGGAGUAGUGGGGCGAAUUAGCGGGACUGCCGUAGUUAAUACGGAGGAAGGAGAGGGCCACGGCAGGUCAGUAUGCCCCGAA
rnacentral:rRNA from 1 species